rnacentral:piRNA from 1 species
UGAGGUGCGUCCCUGAGCUGCAAAAUG